rnacentral:rRNA from 1 species
GACGAACGCUGGCGGCGUGCUUAACACAUGCAAGUCGAACGGUGAAGCUCCAGCUUGCUGGAGUGGAUCAGUGGCGAACGGGUGAGUAACACGUGAGCAACCUGCCCCUGACUCUGGAAUAGGCGCUGGAAACGGCGUCUAAUACUGGAUACGAGAAGGGUCCGCAUGGGCACUUUCUGGAAAGUUUUUCGGUUGGGGAUGGGCUCGCGGCCUAUCAGCUUGUUGGUGAGGUAAUGGCUCACCAAGGCGACGACGGGUAGCCGGCCUGAGAGGGCGACCGGCCACACUGGGACUGAGACACGGCCCAGACUCCUACGGGAGGCAGCAGUGGGGAAUAUUGCACAAUGGGCGAAAGCCUGAUGCAGCGACGCCGCGUGAGGGAUGACGGCCUUCGGGUUGUAAACCUCUUUCAGCAGGGAAGAAGCGAAAGUGACGGUACCUGCAGAAGAAGCACCGGCUAACUACGUG